CGGCGUGCCUACACAUGCAAGUCGAGCGAGUUGAUUUGAAGGAAGCCUUCGGGUGGAAAACAAUGAGGCUAGCGGCGGACGGGUGAGUAACGCGUGGGCAACCUGCCCUGUACAGGGGGAUAACAUUGGGAAACCAGUGCUAAUACCCCAUGAAGCUAAUCUGUGGCAUCACAGAAUAGCCAAAGAUUUAUCGGUACAGGAUGGGCCCGCGUCUGAUUAGCUAGUUGGUAAGGUAAUGGCUUACCAAGGCGACGAUCAGUAGCCGACCUGAGAGGGUGAUCGGCCACACUGGAACUGAGACACGGUCCAGACUCCUACGGGAGGCAGCAGUGGGGAAUAUUGCACAAUGGGGGAAACCCUGAUGCAGCAACGCCGCGUGAGCGAUGAAGGCCUUCGGGUCGUAAAGCUCUGUCCUAGGGGAAGAAGAAUGACGGUACCCUAGGAGGAAGCCCCGGCUAACUACGUGCCAGCAGCCGCGGUAAUACGUAGGGGGCAAGCGUUAUCCGGAAUCACUGGGCGUAAAGGGUGCGUAGGCGGCCCAGCAAGUCAGAGGUGAAAGACUACGGCUCAACCGUAGUAAGCCUUUGAAACUGUUGGGCUUGAGUGCAGGAGAGGAGAGUGGAAUUCCUAGUGUAGCGGUGAAAUGCGUAGAUAUUAGGAGGAACACCAGUGGCGAAGGCGACUCUCUGGACUGUAACUGACGCUGAGGCACGAAAGCGUGGGGAGCGAACAGGAUUAGAUACCCUGGUAG
rnacentral:rRNA from 1 species